GAAGUUGUCGAGACAGCUGUGU
rnacentral:miRNA from 10 species